rnacentral:rRNA from 1 species
UGUAAGCGUAUACCAAAGUUGUUGCAGUUAAAACGCUCGUAGUCGGAAUUUGGCAGUUCCGGAUGUGUGCACGUCGUGUGCGCACUUCGCGGGGAUUGCUUUUGUGGUCUUGCGUAGGAUGAGGCACUUUUAUUAGUGAACGUCCUCACGCAACCACUUUUUACUGUGAGAAAAUCAGAGUGCUCAAAGCAGGCAUUUGCCGUGAAUGUAUUAGCAUGGAAUAAUAGAAUAGGACUUGGUUCUAUUUUGUUGGUUUGUUGGGACUGAGUAAUGAUUAAGAGGGACAGUUGGGGGCAUUUGUAUUUCGGUGCUAGAGGUGAAAUUCUUAGAUUACCGAAAGACAAACUGCUGCGGAGGCGUCUGCCAAGGAUGUUUUCAUUGA